rnacentral:rRNA from 1 species
UACGUAGGGUGCAAGCGUUAAUCGGAAUUACUGGGCGUAAAGCGUGCGCAGGCGGUUGUGCAAGACAGAUGUGAAAGCCCCGGGCUUAACCUGGGAACGGCAUUUGUGACUGCACGGCUAGAGUGUGUCAGAGGGGGGUAGAAUUCCACGUGUAGCAGUGAAAUGCGUAGAGAUGUGGAGGAAUACCGAUGGCGAAGGCAGCCCCCUGGGAUAACACUGACGCUCAUGCACGAAAGCGUGGGGAGCAAACAGG